AAUCAACGCUGGCGGCGUGCCUAACACAUGCAAGUCGAGCGAGAAAAGGGGGGCAACUCCCUGAGUACAGCGGCGCACGGGUGAGUAACACGUGGGUAAUCUGCCCUGGAGUGGGGAAUAACACCGGGAAACCGGUGCUAAUACCGCAUAAGAUCACGAGGUCUGCGGGCCUUGUGAUGAAAGGAGCAAUUCGCUCCAGGAGGAGCCCGCGGCUGAUGAGCUAGUUGGUGAGGUAACGGGUCACCAAGGCAACGAUCAGUAGCCGGGCUGAGGGGACGACCAGGCACAAUGGGAGUGAGACACGGCCCAGACGACUACGGGAGGCAGCAGUGGGGAAUUUUGGACAAUGGGCGCAAGCCUGAUCCAGCAAUGCCGCGUGCAGGAUGAAGGCCUUCGGGUUGUAAACUGCUUUUGUACGGAACGAAACGGCGGGCUCUAAUACAGUUUGCUAAUGACGGUACCGUAAGAAUAAGCACCGGCUAACUACGUGCCAGCCGCCGCAGUAACAC
rnacentral:rRNA from 1 species